rnacentral:lncRNA from 1 species
AGGUGUUAUACGGAGGAAGCAGUGACGAAGGCCACCUGGAGGAGUUAGAGAAGCAACAGCGUGUCCUAUGUUCUGACGACUCUUAACUUCCCAGCACUCUGCAGUACCUCCAUGCCUUUGUGCUUCUUGACCCCUCUGCCUAGCCAUCUUCUCUUCUUCCCUGUUCUUGGCAGAAUCCCGCCCGUAUUUUAAGGCUGUGGCAGACCCGGGCUAAGACCUGAAGGUAUUUUGGUUGAGUGAGGACAGCCUUGCUGGAGGUCGGCUAAUCUUGCAGUGGGAGAAGAGGAGCUGGCGAGAUGAAGAAACUGAGGCCCAAGGAGGUUCAGG